GCCUGGUUGGCUCAGUUGGUUGAACAUCUGACUUCAGCUCAGGUCACGAUCUCACAGUUCGUGAGUUCAAGCCCCAUGUCAGGCU
rnacentral:tRNA from 1 species